rnacentral:rRNA from 1 species
GUAGCAAGGUUAACCGAAUAGGGGAGCCGAAGGGAAACCGAGUCUUAACUGGGCGUUAAGUUGCAGGGUAUAGACCCGAAACCCGGUGAUCUAGCCAUGGGCAGGUUGAAGGUUGGGUAACACUAACUGGAGGACCGAACCGACUAAUGUUGAAAAAUUAGCGGAUGACUUGUGGCUGGGGGUGAAAGGCCAAUCAAACCGGGAGAUAGCUGGUUCUCCCCGAAAGCUAUUUAGGUAGCGCCUCGUGAAUUCAUCUCCGGGGGUAGAGCACUGUUUCGGCAAGGGGGUCAUCCCGACUUACCAACCCGAUGCAAACUGCGAAUACCGGAGAAUGUUAUCACGGGAGACACACGGCGGGUGCUAACGUCCGUCGUGAAGAGGGAAACAACCCAGACCGCCAGCUAAGGUCCCAAAGUCAUGGUUAAGUGGGAAACGAUGUGGGAAGGCCCAGACAGCCAGGAUGUUGGCUUAGAAGCAGCCAUCAUUUAAAGAAAGCGUAAUAGCUCACUGGUCGAGUCGGCCUGCGCGGAAGAUGUAACGGGGCUAAACCAUGCACCGAAGCUGCGGCAGCGACACUGUGUGUUGUUGGGUAGGGGAGCGUUCUGUAAGCCUGUGAAGGUGUACUGUGAGGUAUGCUGGAGGUAUCAGAAGUGCGAAUGCUGACAUAAGUAACGAUAAAGCGGGUGAAAAGCCCGCUCGCCGGAAGACCAAGGGUUCCUGUCCAACGUUAAUCGGGGCAGGGUGAGUCGACCCCUAAGGCGAGGCCGAAAGGCGUAGUCGAUGGGAAACAGGUUAAUAUUCCUGUACUUGGUGUUACUGCGAAGGGGGGACGGAGAAGGCUAUGUUGGCCGGGCGACGGUUGUCCCGGUUUAAGCGUGUAGGCUGGUUUUCCAGGCAAAUCCGGAAAAUCAAGGCUGAGGCGUGAUGACGAGGCACUACGGUGCUGAAGCAACAAAUGCCCUGCUUCCAGGAAAAGCCUCUAAGCAUCAGGUAACAUCAAAUCGUACCCCAAACCGACACAGGUGGUCAGGUAGAGAAUACCAAGGCGCUUGAGAGAACUCGGGUGAAGGAACUAGGCAAAAUGGUGCCGUAACUUCGGGAGAAGGCACGCUGAUAUGUAGGUGAAGUCCCUCGCGGAUGGAGCUGAAAUCAGUCGAAGAUACCAGCUGGCUGCAACUGUUUAUUAAAAACACAGCACUGUGCAAACACGAAAGUGGACGUAUACGGUGUGACGCCUGCCCGGUGCCGGAAGGUUAAUUGAUGGGGUCAGCGCAAGCGAAGCUCUUGAUCGAAGCCCCGGUAAACGGCGGCCGUAACUAUAACGGUCCUAAGGUAGCGAAAUUCCUUGUCGGGUAAGUUCCGACCUGCACGAAUGGCGUAAUGAUGGCCAGGCUGUCUCCACCCGAGACUCAGUGAAAUUGAACUCGCUGUGAAGAUGCAGUGUACCCGCGGCAAGACGGAAAGACCCCGUGAACCUUUACUAUAGCUUGACACUGAACAUUGAGCCUUGAUGUGUAGGAUAGGUGGGAGGCUUUGAAGUGUGGACGCCAGUCUGCAUGGAGCCGACCUUGAAAUACCACCCUUUAAUGUUUGAUGUUCUAACGUGGACCCGUGAUCCGGGUUGCGGACAGUGUCUGGUGGGUAGUUUGACUGGGGCGGUCUCCUCCUAAAGAGUAACGGAGGAGCACGAAGGUUGGCUAAUCCUGGUCGGACAUCAGGAGGUUAGUGCAAUGGCAUAAGCCAGCUUGACUGCGAGCGUGACGGCGCGAGCAGGUGCGAAAGCAGGUCAUAGUGAUCCGGUGGUUCUGAAUGGAAGGGCCAUCGCUCAACGGAUAAAAGGUACUCCGGGGAUAACAGGCUGAUACCGCCCAAGAGUUCAUAUCGACGGCGGUGUUUGGCACCUCGAUGUCGGCUCAUCACAUCCUGGGGCUGAAGUAGGUCCCAAGGGUAUGGCUGUUCGCCAUUUAAAGUGGUACGCGAGCUGGGUUUAGAACGUCGUGAGACAGUUCGGUCCCUAUCUGCCGUGGGCGCUGGAGAACUGAGGGGGGCUGCUCCUAGUACGAGAGGACCGGAGUGGACGCAUCACUGGUGUUCGGGUUGUCAUGCCAAUGGCACUGCCCGGUAGCUAAAUGCGGAAGAGAUAAGUGCUGAAAGCAUCUAAGCACGAAACUUGCCCCGAGAUGAGUUCUCCCUGACCCUUUAAGGGUCCUGAAGGAACGUUGAAGACGACGACGUUGAUAGGCCGGGUGUGUAAGCGCAGCGAUGCGUUGAGCUAACCGGUACUAAUGAACCGUGAGGCUUAACCUUACAACGCCGAAGGUGUUU